UGGCUCUCGCAUCGAUGAAGAACGCAGCGAAAUGCGAUAAGUAAUGUGAAUUGCAGAAUUCAGUGAAUCAUCGAAUCUUUGAACGCACCUUGCGCUCCUUGGUAUUCCGAGGAGCAUGCCUGUUUGAGUGUCUUGAAGUCAUCAACCCCUCCCGUUUUGUCGCGGGCGACGGUUGGAUCUGGGGGCUUGCUGCCGUGAGGCUGCUCCCCUCAAAUGCGUCGGUUGGACCUGUGGGUCGAACUCGAUCGGGCGUUGUAUUAUCCUCGCUCUGACCGAGAAGUUCCCCUCUUGCGUCCUUCCCCGACCUGCCUAUGGAGUGGCGGUCAACACAUUUUGAAAUCUGACCUCAAAUCAGGUAGGACUACCCGCUGA
rnacentral:misc_RNA from 1 species